AAUUUCCUCCGUUACACAGUGGUUAAGAGAAACAGCAUAUCCUAAGAUCACAGAAGGAAUGGCUACUGAACUGCACAUGAAGCAAAACUGCUGUUAGCCAGGAAAGCCCUCCAAAAGCCUCCAUGCAACGCAUCAUAGUCCAAUACAAGCGGAGAAGAAUGCUCCUUAAAAAGUUACAAGGAUGAGGAACAGCCAGAACACGAGAUUUUCCUGGGAAUCAAUCCAAGAAGUGGUGGUGGAGGCUUGCUAGUUAAUCCGUUUGUUAAAAGGAGUGCUUUUUCAGCCUGCAGCAUUAUUCCCUUAUUUUAUUCAUUGGGCCUUUUCAUAUGCUGGAUUGUCCAGGUGGCCUUAACUUUCAAGGUGGUAAUUUUGCUGAAGAUAACCACUUGAUGAAGAGACAGACAGUCCCAAUCAUGGAUUAGAGAUCUGCACCGUUGAGGACACGUUACAGAAUCACAUUGGUACAAGGAUGACAUCCUUCUGCCUGAAGAGAACAUCGUAAUCCCUGUGUUUCUGUAAGUCAGAGCUAAAAGCAGAUUCAUCCAUAAUUGUGUAGCAUGAAGUGUGUGUGUGUAUACGCACACACACACAUAUACACACACACACACGUAUACCUUUUAUACACACAUGUACAUAUAUGUAUAUAAAUAUGCCUUUUUUCAGGUCAGAAUCUCUAACGUUACAUUUGAGUGGUAAAUUGAACUGUUUCUCAUGGUGGCUGUUCCCAAAUAGUAUGAUAUAAGUAUCUUUUCUUUUCCAUUCAAUCAAUUUUCCAGUUCUAUAUGCUUGAUUAAUGUGAUUUUUUUCUUCCAGUGAAAUAAAUGAUUUUC
rnacentral:lncRNA from 1 species